rnacentral:rRNA from 1 species
UACGUAGGGUGCGAGCGUUGUCCGGAAUUAUUGGGCGUAAAGAGCGCGCAGGCGGUCGGUCAAGUCGAGUGUGAAAGCCCCCGGCUCAACUGGGGAGGGUCAUUCGAUACUGAUCGACUCGAAGGCAGGAGAGGGUAGUGGAAUUCCCGGUGUAGUGGUGAAAUGCGUAGAUAUCGGGAGGAACACCAGUGGCGAAGGCGACUACCUGGCCUGUUCUUGACGCUGAGGCGCGAAAGCUAGGGGAGCAAACGGG